AGGAGGAGGGCGGGGGUGAUGCACGUGAGAGGAAUGAACACAGGCAAGGAAAAGUUAGAGGAACAUACCAUACAGCCCUCUCCCAGCCGAGGAAGAGACGUGUCUAAGGCCCCUCUUGCUCCAACCUGCACACCCCAGCUGCACGCUCCGCGGGAAGGAAAACUUGCCCGGGAAGGGGCCCGAAGCCGGGAGAGCAGCAGGUAACAUACAAGCUCAAUAACAAAGACAAAACAAAGAAAAGUGCACACUGAAUUGAACAAACGGACACUUCAACAUUGCUGUUGCAUGCCACUGCAUACACUUGAUGGAACAACAGAUAUGUUCUGGAUCUCCAUAAUGUAAAUAAAAUCAGUCUCUGUGACCAAAAAGACAGAACUAAUUUGUGAUGGUCAUUAUACACUUACUACAAUCCACUGUCACAUCGAGAACCAGGUGGUCCACCACUGUGAAGCAGGACAUAAGAGGAACACAGCCAAUUUUUGGUGAAUCUCUGCUGAGAGACAAGUAAAACAUUGGAUUUUAGUAAGAGUAUUGGGAAUGACUACACCUUACAGCAAAUAGCAAAGAAGCUGGUAGCACUGGAAAUUUACUGGGCUGGUUAUCAAUGCAGUGAGUGGAUUAAGUGGCAAAGACAGAAACUAGAACUCCAUCUCUGGGAAUUUGCCAUCAAUAUGCCUAUUUUACGAGUACUUUGACUGGUGCUGGGUACUGCACCUAGCAUGGAGCCAACAGUUGUGCACAAUGACCUGGUCAGCGAGGAUGGUGACCCCAGAAUCUAUCCUGGAAAUAGAUGGGAGCCAGUGAUUCUGGUGAUGAAACCAGUCCCCGAGAAGUUUUUGCUGCAGGAGCAGUUGUAGCACAUCCUGGGGUCAUCCUUAGAGGAAUUUUACGGUUGCCCUCCCCAACCCAUGGAAAAGUGGCCUUCUGCAGAAUCAGCAGCAGAAACUGAAGAAGCAGAAGUCACCUUGGAGUUGGAACUCUUCCCGCCAAAAAGGCUUUAUAAGGACUUGUUCAGCGCCUGCGCGGGGCUGUCCAUUCCAGCGACAGCUCGUACACGGUCGGGUCUUUGCAGAGCUCCAGAACUGAGAUCGAAGAACAUCAUCUAUCCCGCAGUGUGUUUGAGGAAGAGGAGUCCUCUCAUCGUCAUUUCUAUAUCUUGCAUUUCCUGGUGUCCAUCAUCCCAGAGGGUCUCCUCGCCAGCGACGAGAAACAUCAGUAGUCUGGACUCCCCAGUGUUCCUCCUCAGGGUCUCUAAAUCAGUCCAAGAGUUGUAGGUCCUGGGCAUCACGCCUGUACAUGACAUCUGCUGCAUCAGAGCAAUAGGAGAAAGGUUUCUGUGUUGGGGUAUUGUUUAUUGUUUUGUAGAAUCCCACGGGAGGGUUUAUGGGCCUGAGCUCCAAGCUCUUAGAGUCAGUCACUGAUUCUCUGUUUUACUGAGUCAUGGUUUUGCCGUUUUACUGUGUUAUUCUUGUAUUUCUCCCCCCCUUUCUUCCCAGUUUUCUGUACCUUUUACCCCUAAUACAUUUACCUUUAUUUGCACCAUA